GUUGAUCCCGCCGGACCCGACUGCUAUCGGAUUGGGAUUUAGCCAUGUUAGUUGUGCGUUCCUUGGCUACAGGGGACGCAGCGUACGGCUCAGUAACACGUAGUCAACCUGCCCUGGAGACGCGGACAAACCCGGGAAACUGGGGCCUAUCCGCGAUAGAUGACCUCAUCUGGAAGGAGUGGUCGUCGAAAAGGGCGCACGGGUAUGCUCUGUGCGCACCGCUUCAGGAUGGGACUGCGGCCGAUCAGGCUGUUGGCGGGGUAAUGGCCCACCAAACCUGUAACCGGUACGGGCUUUGAGAGAAGGAGCCCGGAGAUGGACACUGAGACAAGGGUCCAGGCCCUACGGGGCGCAUCAGGCGCGAAAACUUCGCAAUGCGCGAAAGCGUGACGAGGCUAGUCCGAGUGCUCCCUGCUAAAGGGAGCUUUUCUCGGCUGUAAAUAGGCCGGGGAAUAAGGGGAGGGNCAGUCUGGUGU
rnacentral:rRNA from 1 species